GAUGAACGCUGGCGGCGUGCCUAAUACAUGCAAGUCGAGCGAACAGACGAGGAGCUUGCUCCUCUGACGUUAGCGGCGGACGGGUGAGUAACACGUGGAUAACCUACCUAUAAGACUGGGAUAACUUCGGGAAACCGGAGCUAAUACCGGAUAAUAUAUUGAACCGCAUGGUUCAAUAGUGAAAGACGGUUUUGCUGUCACUUAUAGAUGGAUCCCGGCCGCAUUAGCUAGUUGGUAAGGUAACGGCUUACCAAGGCAACGAUGCGUAGCCGACCUGAGAGGGUGAUCGGCCACACUGGAACUGAGACACGGUCCAGACUCCUACGGGAGGCAGCAGUAGGGAAUCUUCCGCAAAGGGCGAAAGCCUGACGGAGCAACGCCGCGUGAGUGAUGAAGGUCUUCGGAUCGUAAAACUCUGUUAUUAGGGAAGAACAAAUGUGUAAGUAACUAUGCACGUCUUGACGGUACCUAAUCAGAAAGCCACGGCUAACUACGUG
rnacentral:rRNA from 1 species